rnacentral:lncRNA from 1 species
GUCAAUAGGGCACAUCGUUUUCGCUUCUAUAAUAGAGGCAUUAUAAUAGGCAGACUUAUUUUGUUUUUAUUAUUUUUUCCAAUGAUAGAAGAAAGAGAGGCUUGAGAAAGUUAAUGUAGACAUCAUAACGAUAUAGCCUCCUUUGACAAAGUGAGUAAAAAAAUAAUGGUUAAUUAUCUCUAGUAAGCCAGCCACCAUUGAUGGGAAUAAGAAAGCCAUUUUGU